UCUCCGUUGGUGAACCAGCGGAGGGAUCAUUAUCGAGUUUAUAACUCCCAAACCCUAUGUGAACUUACCACUUGUUGCUUCGGCGCGCGCUUCGGUGCCGCCGAGGGCACUUAAACUCUUUGUUUUUAUAAGCAUUUCUGAGUGGCCGAAAGGCAAAAUACAAAUGAAUCAAAACUUUCAACAACGGAUCUCUUGGUUCUG
rnacentral:misc_RNA from 1 species